rnacentral:rRNA from 1 species
UACGAGGGGGGCAAGCGGUUGUUCGGAAUUAUUGGGCGUAAAGGGUGCGUAGGUGGUCAGGUAAGUCGGAUGUGAAAUCUCGGAGCUUAACUCCGAAACUGCAUUGGAAACUACCUGGCUCGAGGAAUGGAGGGGAGACUGGAAUUCCUGGUGUAGCGGUGAAAUGCGUAGAGAUCAGGAGGAACACCCGUGGCGAAGGCGGCUCCCCUGGUCCGUCCCUGACGCUGAGACGGCGAAAGCGCGGGGAGCGAACGGG